GAGUGAAUAUGAUAUUGAGAGGGAAGAUGAGAGGGGAGGAGGAAGGAAUGAGUAACAAAAGUGAAAACAAAACUAAAAACUGAAGUCUAUUUGAAAUUGUUUUCACUUUUGUUACUCUUUCCUCUUAUCAUUUCCUCUCAUCCUCACUCCCAUUUUCCUUUAUACU
rnacentral:miRNA from 1 species